rnacentral:rRNA from 1 species
GAGUUUGAUCCUGGCUCAGGAUGAACGCUAGCGGCAGGCCUAACACAUGCAAGUCGAGGGGUAACAAGUCUAGCUUGCUAGAUGUUGACGACCGGCGCACGGGUGCGCAACGCGUAUACAAUCUACCCCCUACUGUGGGAUAGCCCAGAGAAAUUUGGAUUAAGACCACAUAGUACUAUAUUACGGCAUCGUAUUUAUAGUUAAAGGUUACGGUAGGGGAUGAGUAUGCGUCCCAUUAGUUAGUUGGCGAGGUAACGGCUCACCAAGACCGCGAUGGGUAGGGGCCCUGAGAGGGGAUCCCCCACACUGGUACUGAGACACGGACCCAGACUCCUACGGGAGGCAGCAGUGAGGAAUAUUGGACAAUGGACGAGAGUCUGAUCCCAGCCAUGCCGCGUGCAGGAAGAAUGCCCUAUGGGUAGUAAACUGCUUUUAUACGGGAAGAAAAAGGGGCACGUGUGCCCCACUGACGGUACCGUAAGAAUAAGGACCGGCUAACUCCGUGCCAGCAGCCGCGGUAAUACGGAGGGUCCGAGCGUUAUCCGGAAUUAUUGGGUUUAAAGGGUCCGUAGGCGGGCCGAUAAGUCAGUGGUGAAAGUUUGCAGCUCAACUGUAAAAUUGCCUUUGAUACUGUCGGUCUUGAGUUAUAGUGAAGUUGCCGGAAUAUGUAGUGUAGCGGUGAAAUGCAUAGAUAUUACAUAGAACACCGAUUGCGAAGGCAGGUGACUAACUAUAUACUGACGCUGAUGGACGAAAGCGUGGGGAGCGAACAGGAUUAGAUACCCUGGUAGUCCACGCCGUAAACGAUGGAUACUAGCUGUCCGGGUCCUUGAGACCUGGGCGGCCAAGCGAAAGUGAUAAGUAUCCCACCUGGGGAGUACGUUCGCAAGAAUGAAACUCAAAGGAAUUGACGGGGGCCCGCACAAGCGGUGGAGCAUGUGGUUUAAUUCGAUGAUACGCGAGGAACCUUACCAGGGCUUAAAUGCAUUUUGACAGGGGUAGAGAUACCUUUUCCUUCGGGCAAUUUGCAAGGUGCUGCAUGGUUGUCGUCAGCUCGUGCCGUGAGGUGUCAGGUUAAGUCCUAUAACGAGCGCAACCCCUACCGUUAGUUGCCAGCGAGUCAUGUCGGGGACUCUAACGGGACUGCCGGUGCAAACCGUGAGGAAGGUGGGGACGACGUCAAAUCAUCACGGCCCUUACGUCCUGGGCCACACACGUGCUACAAUGGCCGGUACAGCGGGAAGCCAUGCGGUAACGCAGAGCGGAUCCACAAAACCGGUCACAGUUCGGAUCGGGGUCUGCAACUCGACCCCGUGAAGCUGGAAUCGCUAGUAAUCGGAUAUCAGCCAUGAUCCGGUGAAUACGUUCCCGGGCCUUGUACACACCGCCCGUCAAGCCAUGGAAGCUGGGAGUGCCUGAAGUCCGUCACCGUAAGGAGCGGCCUAGGGCAAGAUCGGUAACUAGGGCUAAGUCGUAACAAGGUAGCCGUACCGGAAGGUGCGGCUGGAUCACC